rnacentral:rRNA from 1 species
UACGUAGGGUGCGAGCGUUAAUCGGAAUUACUGGGCGUAAAGCGUGCGCAGGCGGUCCGCAAAGUCUGAUGUGAAAACCCCGGGCUCAACCUGGGAACUGCAUUGGAAACUAACGGGCUCGAGUGUGGCAGAGGGGGGUGGGAAUUCCACGUGUAGCAGUGAAAUGCGUAGAGAUGUGGAGGAACACCGAUGGCGAAGGCAGCCCCCUGGGCUAACACUGACGCUCAGGCACGAAAGCGUGGGGAGCAAACAGG